UUUUAUGGAGAGUUUGAUCCUGGCUCAGGAUGAACGCUGGCGGCGUGCCUAAUACAUGCAAGUCGAGCGAACGGACGAGAAGCUUGCUUCUCUGAUGUUAGCGGCGGACGGGUGAGUAACACGUGGAUAACCUACCUAUAAGACUGGGAUAACUUCGGGAAACCGGAGCUAAUACCGGAUAAUAUUUUGAACCGCAUGGUUCAAAAGUAAAAGACGGUCUUGCUGUCACUUAUAGAUGGAUCCGCGCUGCAUUAGCUAGUUGGUAAGGUAACGGCUUACCAAGGCAACGAUGCAUAGCCGACCUGAGAGGGUGAUCGGCCACACUGGAACUGAGACACGGUCCAGACUCCUACGGGAGGCAGCAGUAGGGAAUCUUCCGCAAUGGGCGAAAGCCUGACGGAGCAACGCCGCGUGAGUGAUGAAGGUCUUCGGAUCGUAAAACUCUGUUAUUAGGGAAGAACAUAUGUGUAAGUAACUGUGCACAUCUUGACGGUACCUAAUC
rnacentral:rRNA from 1 species